CCCCUAGUAACGGCGAGUGAAGCGGGAUCAGCCCAGCGCCGAACCUCCGUGUUUUGGUAGCACGGCGGAGUGUGGUGUUUGGAAUCUACCGCGGGGACUUGACAACGCGUCCAAGUGCACUGGAAAGUGUCUCCCAGGGAGGGUGAAAGGCCCGUCUGGCGCGAUGUCUUGUUCCAUGGUGGAAUCUUCGAGUCGGGUUGUUUGGGAAUGCAGCCCAAAGUGGGUGGUAAACUCCAUCUAAGGCUAAAUAUUCGGACGAGACCGAUAGCGAACAAGUACCGUGAGGGAAAGUUGAAAAGCACUCUGAAGAGAGAGUUAAACAGUACGUGAAACCGUCGAGAGGUAAACGGUGAAGUCGUUAAAUUACAUGGCGUUGCAGGUUCAGGUUUCGAGUUCUGAUUUCUCCGUUCCGUCGACCGCAAGGCAGCGGGUUGCGGAGUUGAGGGGCUCGGAAGCGCACUUCUGCAGCGCCUGUGUCGCGACCGAUUGUUCGGGGGCGAAAGAUGCGGCGUUGUGGGGCUGGAUCUCUUCGGAGCUCUGGUCCUUUCGUCGACACGGCGGUCCCUGGGCGAUCGAGCUAGUGUGGAGCGUCCUCCUUUCGGGGAGUCGCCCUUCUGCGGGAUGCGGUUUUCGGCUUCUCGGACUGCUUGCAGUGCGGGGGGUCGGGGCUGUUCUCGUGGGGGUCAGCGGCGGCGGCGCACCCGGUCAGCGACUAUGCACGGCCUUCACCGACCCGUCUUGAAACACGGACCAAGGAGUCUAACAUGUGUGCGAGUCUCAAGGGAGCUCGAAACCCGCAGGCGCAAUGAAAGUGAAGAGCGGUUCGGCCGCUUCAGGCGAGAGCCUCUCUAGGGGGGUGCAUCGCCGUCCCGUCCGUUGGACCACGUUCCAUGGGCGGAGAAUGAGCAUACACGUUGGGACCCGAAAGAUGGUGAACUAUGCCUGAACAGGAUGAAGCCAGGGGAAACCCUGGUGGAGGUCCGCAGCGAUUCUGACGUGCAAAUCGAUCGUCUGAUUUGGGUAUAGGGGCGA
rnacentral:rRNA from 1 species